GCCUGGGUGGCUUAGUCGGUUAAGCGUCUGACUUCGGCUCAGGUCAUGAUCUCACGGUUCGUGAGUUCAAGCCCCGCGUCGGGCU
rnacentral:tRNA from 1 species